rnacentral:lncRNA from 12 species
GAGCAGGACCCAGCAGGAGGGGCUGGGCCUGAGCCUGGAGGGAAAGUCUGAUUUUCAACGCUUAGGCAUGCCAAACGGUUUACUUUCAGAUGUUUUCUUCUUCCCUCUUACUGGCUGGUCCCUCCCUCCCUUCCCAGGUCACUUAAAAGACAUUCCCUCAAGAGCAAAGAGAAAAGACAUCCCAUCAAGGACGAAGAGCGGAGACAUCCCAUCAAGAGCAAAGGAGAAGUGAUGGAAGAGUUGAGUGUCAAACCCCAGCAACGUCAUCACAUUUAAUCCUUCUGAGGCCUGUGAGUGCGGGUCAUUGUUCCCAUUUACUGUCAAGAGGAUGGAGGCAAGGAGCAGAGGUGGCCUGUGAAUUGCUGGAGGGCAUGAGUGCUUUGCACCGGACAGCAAUGAUUUGUGCAGCAAGUUGGGAAGGUCCCUGCCCUGGUGGCUUCCUGAAGGUGGUUGUGACUGUGCUGGGGUCACGACCCCCCUAAGGAUGACAGGCAAGAUGAAGAGCUGACCCCUGACUUCCCUGAGCUCAGCCAGGUUGGCUUCCCGCUGCCUCCUGCAGGGCGAUCACUCCAGAACUCUCUCUUACCCACAAGGCCCCUAGCCGCUCCCUUUCCUGAGAGCAGGAUGUUUCUGAAUCUCUCAGUAAUUUUCCUUCUCAGAGUGAGACAGAGCAGGGCCUGGACUAGGGUCCCCUCAACCCUGACCACCAAAUCCAGCAUUCUUUGGCUGUCUCCCUAAGGGAAAAAAAAAAAAAAAGCUAAAACUCUCUGCCCUUGAGCAGCGGGAAUGUAGGGGCAGGAUGCUUGCAGUCGGGAGGGACCAGACUGUGAAGACUGGUGAAGACCAACCAGUCUGUGCCGAGAAGGACCCCAGUACUGACUUUCACCAACAUUCCCCCUUAUUAUAUUACUAAAAAUCAUGCCGGGGGUGGAGAUUUUUUUUAAAGAUUAAAAAAAAAUUUUAUUCAUGAAAGACACACAGAGAGGCAGAGACACAGGCAGAGGGAGAAGCAGGCUCCAUGCAGGGAGCCCGAUGUGGGACUCGAUCCCGGGUCUCCAGGAUCACGACCCUGGCCACGACCCUGGCCGAAGGCGGCGCUAAACUGCUGGGCCACCGGGGCUGCCCUCCCACCCAAGUGUCUCGAAGAAAUUUUCCCUAACCUCUCCUUGGGGAUCAGCUUAAGGAUUCUUUCCCUUGGGCUUGAGCAUAAGCCCCAAUAAAGCCUUGCCCAGA